rnacentral:rRNA from 1 species
GAGUUUGAUCAUGGCUCAGGAUGAACGCUGGCGGCGUGCUUAACACAUGCAAGUCGAACGAAGCGCCUUAUUUGAUUUUCUUCGGAACUGAAGAUUUGGUGACUGAGUGGCGGACGGGUGAGUAACGCGUGGGGUAACCUGCCCUGUACAGGGGGAUAACAAUCAGAAAUGACUGCUAAUACCGCAUAAGACCACAGCACCGCAUGGUGCAGGGGUAAAAACUCCGGUGGUACAGGAUGGACCCGCGUCUGAUUAGCUGGUUGGCGAGGUAACGGCUCACCAAGGCGACGAUCAGUAGCCGGCUUGAGAGAGUGAACGGCCACAUUGGGACUGAGACACGGCCCAAACUCCUACGGGAGGCAGCAGUGGGGGAAUAUUGCACAAUGGGGGAAACCCUGAUGCAGCAACGCCGCGUGAGUGAAGAAGUAUUUCGGUAUGUAAAGCUCUAUCAGCAGGGAAGGAAGUGACGGUACCUGACUAAGAAGCCCCGGCUAACUACGUGCCAGCCGCCGCCGUAAG